rnacentral:rRNA from 1 species
GAUGAACGCUGGCGGCGUGCCUAAUACAUGCAAGUCGAGCCAACAGAUGAGGAGCUUGCUCCUCUGACGUUAGCGGCGGACGGGUGAGUAACACGUGGAUAACCUACCUAUAAGACUGGGAUAACUUCGGGAAACCGGAGCUAAUACCGGAUAAUAUAUUGAACCGCAUGGUUCAAUAGUGAAAGACGGUUUUGCUGUCACUUAUAGAUGGAUCCGCGCCGCAUUAGCUAGUUGGUAAGGUAACGGCUUACCAAGGCAACGAUGCGUAGCCGACCUGAGAGGGUGAUCGGCCACACUGGAACUGAGACACGGUCCAGACUCCUACGGGAGGCAGCAGUAGGGAAUCUUCCGCAAUGGGCGAAAGCCUGACGGAGCAACGCCGCGUGAGUGAUGAAGGUCUUCGGAUCGUAAAACUCUGUUAUUAGGGAAGAACAAAUGUGUAAGUAACUAUGCACGUCUUGACGGUACCUAAUCAGAAAGCCACGGCUAACUACGUG